AUGGAAACCGUCACCGACCAGCAAGAUGUGCUUGGGCCCAAAAAGGGUAGCCCCUUAAUGACGGACGUGGAGGUGGAGGAGAUAGCUGAAGUCGAGGGUGUUGUUGAUGACAUAAAAGGUGUUUAUAAAAUAGAGCCUUGUGAAGAACAAAGGAUACAAUACAGAAAGGAUGUUGCCUCACACAUGACAGUAGCUGCACAGCCUAUGAACGAUGUUCCCUCCCCAACAACGCCUUUGCUUGAGAAAAGUUGUUCUGUUGUUGAAAUGAGAGGGAUAAGGCACUAUGGUUGUGAUUGUGAUGCUUGGAACGAUGUUCCUCAUGGUCCCAGUAAUGUUGAUAACAAGUACAGACAAACUGCAGGGUACCAAGUAGAGACAAACCGCAGGGUACAAGUACAGACACUGUGUGUCCACGUAGGUAGCCAUGUGGCAUUGGUCCAUGACGGACUGUUCUGUCACGGCCUAGUUUGGGCUUGGGCGGGCCUGAGGCAAUUCCAUGACGGCCAAGAACCGUCA
rnacentral:rRNA from 1 species